GUGCUUGCUUUGGUAACACAUAUACUAACAUUGGAAUGAUACAAAGAAGAUUAACAUGGGCCUUGUGCAAGGAUGACAAGCAAAUUUGUGAACCAUUCCACAUUUUU